GACGAACGCUGGCGGUGUGCUUAACACAUGCAAGUCGAACGGUAAGGCCCUUUCGGGGGUACACGAGUGGCGAACGGGUGCGUAACACGUGCGUAACCUGACCUCAUCUCUGGGAUAACAGUCGGAAACGGUUGCUAAUACUGGAUAUGAGCUUGCAAGGCAUCUUGUGGGUUGGAAAGAUUUUUUUUGGUUGGGGAUGGACUAGCGGCCUAUCAGCUUGUUGGUGAGGUAGUGGCUCACCAAGGCUUCGACGGGUAGCCGGCCUGAGAGGGCGACCGGCCACAUUGGGACUGAGAUACGGCCCAAACUCCUACGGGAGGCAGCAGUGGGGAAUAUUGCACAAUGGACGGAAGUCUGAUGCAGCAACGCCGCGGGCUGGAUGACGGCCUUCGGGUUGUAAACCGCUUUCAAUUGUGACGAAGCUUUUUUGUGACGGUAGCAGUAGAAGAAGCACCGGCUAACUACGUG
rnacentral:rRNA from 1 species